rnacentral:ncRNA from 1 species
AAUGAAUUUUAUUCUAGUUUGUGAAGAUUUUUUUAAGGUAAUUUAUAAUAUGUAAGUAUUUGUGUGUGCUACAAUAAUAAAGUUUAAAUAAUUAUGUUGAAAUUUAAUUUAGUCGCAGUUUUUAUUUUUAUGUAUUUAAUAACUUAAGACAUAGUUAAUCUUAAAAUGGUUAGCAAAAAUUGUGCCAGCAGCUGCGGUUAUACAAUUAGCCAGUAUUAUCUUUAUAAGGAUAAUUAUUAAUCUUAAAAGUGUUGGUCUGAAUAUUAUAUUUUAUUUUGAAGUGAAAUUUAAAUGUUAAUUUUUUAUGAUUGGGUACGUUUAGAGAAUAUAAGAAAUUCUUUAAUUGAGACUAGGAUUAGAUACCCUAUUAUUUUGAAUGUAAAAAAAUUCUUAGUAUUAAUAGUUAAGAUCUUUAAAUUGAAAGAAUUUGACGGUAAUUUAAUCAUUUUAGAGGAACCUGUUCUGUAAUCGAUAAUCCACGAUAAAUUUUACCUUAAUUAAAUAAGUUCGCUUGUAUAUCUCUGUUUGAUGAAUGUUUUAUUAGAAUAUUUUCUUUAAUUUUUGAUAGAAGAUUAUGUCAGGUCAAGGUGCAGCUAUAUUGAGGGUUGAAAUGGGUUACAUUUAAACUUUAUUAUUGGAUUAGAUAUAUUUAAUUUAUAUUUAUGAAACUGGAUUUAAUUGUAAUGGUUAAUAUAUAUUAUUCAUGAUAUAUGUUCUUGAUUAAGUACAUAUCGCCCGUCACUCCUAUUAUUAAAAUAGGAUAAGUCGUAACAAAGUAGCCCUAUCGGAAGAUGGGGCUGGAAUUAU